AAUGUAUUUUGUAAUUAUAUCAUCAUAAAGUAAUUGACAUUAUUUAUUUCAAUACAAAUAUUUAAGUAUGUACAUUUCGCUGUAAUGAUAUAUCUGUGUAUGAGAGAUAAACAAACGUCUAUUAAAACGAGCAAACUUAUAAUAUGUUUUCUCUAAUUCUUCGUCAAUUUAUCCCUUUCUGCACCCAUUGUAUAAAAAAAUUUAAUCAACGUGUGGUUAGUUUGAUCUCAGUUCUUCAUUGGUUAAAAUCCGAUUAUGACGUCGAAUUUUCUUGCUUUCCUCUAAAUUUCCUAUUGUGACGGCAUGAAAAAAGGCGACCAUGCCUGAUGACGUCACAUAGAAAGAACGCAUUUUUUUUCAGAUCAUUCGAAAAGAAGGAAUACGUUUGCCUGCAUAUUGUUUGAAAAUCAUUAGAGAAACAGAUUCUACCACUGCAUCUCGUGUAAUACGAUAUUUAUCCACUCUUGACAGUUAAAUUUUAAAUAUUUAAAACGCUCGGCGAGCCUCGCGAUUUAAAUUUGAAAAUUUAACUGUCUCGAGUGGAUGAAUAUCGUAUCACACUCGAUGUAGUGGUAGAAUCUAUAUUUACAUGUUCAACUUUGCAUUUGGCUUGGAUCUUUACUUGCAAAAUGUAUUGAUAAAUGUUUGACAUCUUCA
rnacentral:lncRNA from 1 species